rnacentral:snRNA from 1 species
GGAUGUGAGGGCGAUCUGACUGCGACAUCUGUCACCCCAUUGAUCGCCAGGGUUGAUUCGGCUGAUCUGGCUGGCUAGGUGGGUGUCCCCUUCCUCCUUCAUCACUUCAUGUGUGUCCCUCCCGAAGCUGCACUUCCCCCAAAUAGAGACUGACCAACUGACCCGUCUUCUUCGGUCGGUCGAGGAAAUACGAGUAGCUGCGCUCCCCUGCUAGAAUCUCCGAGCUCUCUUUCAUGUAAUGUGUGUUGUACAUUACGUGAAAGUUGUAAAAUUCAUACUUUCUUUUUAU